UACGAAGGGGGCUAGCGUUGUUCGGAUUUACUGGGCGUAAAGCGCACGUAGGCGGAUCUUUAAGUCAGAGGUGAAAUCCCAAGGCUCAACCUUGGAACUGCCUUUGAUACUGGGGAUCUUGAGUCCGGGAGAGGUGAGUGGAACUGCGAGUGUAGAGGUGAAAUUCGUAGAUAUUCGCAAGAACACCAGUGGCGAAGGCGGCUCACUGGCCCGGUUCUGACGCUGAGGCGCGAAAGCGUGGGGAGCAAACAGG
rnacentral:rRNA from 1 species